rnacentral:ncRNA from 1 species
ACCCUCUAUUUUUUAUAGGAAGACUGCGCCUCGUAUUCGCAUCGGAUCUGGCCUAAAAUAGCGCGCAUCAGAGUGGACAAUUCCGACAUAGCCUGCCAUUUGAGGUUUUUUUCUUUACAAUAUAACAGUCGAUUCAAUUUGCAAGUAAGCAUCAUCUGUGCUAUUUUUUUUUUGUUCAUCAUAAAUAGAGCUAAGCAGUAGUUCAUAGUCUACUCGACAUGACGGCUACUUAAUUGGUCGCUUUCUUGCCGUCGGUUUUCCGAAACUCAUCCAGCCCAUAUACACCUAAAAUUGUUGUUCAUCAAAUAAAAUGCACAACAGACUUCUUUAUGUUUGAGAAGUUGAGUAUGCAUGAGGAAGACAUGUUAUUUUAAUCAGCUUAAAGAAAAAAAAUAAUGUUUCCAUUUUUUUUUAUCACUGAUACACGUCCCUCUCGAAGAUAACGAAAAAGAAGGCUUGAGAUAAUUUGGGGGUGCAUUUACUUAUCAUUUAUAUACUUAGGUUGAUCGGCCCUUUAUUUAUGUUAAGUCUCCAGGCAGUAACAACAAAAUUUUUAUUAAUAUCUUCAAUAAAUUUGACUGCACGAAGUUAACAUAAUGGCUUCAGAUCGACAGUGGAGGAGGAUACUCGAAAACACGCCAUCUGGAAAGUCUGACGAACGUGUUUUUUUUGUUCGCUGUCUGGGCGAGCCCCGGGAAAAGUUUUCUCUGUAAGGAGAUCGAGUCCCUGGAAUGGGUUCGCCCCGAGAUAGGGAUGGUGGCUCCGUAGAGCAGUGCGGCUCUUGCGCUGUCCGGUGCGCUAGCGUCGGCCCUUGAAAAUCCGAGUGAGGGAGUGUGAUUUUCGUGCCGGACCGUACCCACAUCCGCAGCAGGUCUCCAAGGUGAACAGCCUCCAGUCGAUGGACCAAUGUAGGUAAGGGAAGUCGGCAAAACGGAUCCGUAACCUUGGGAUAAGGAUUGGCUCUGAGGACUGAGCCGGUCGGGCUGGGGACCUGAAGCAGGAACGGCACUGCACCGGGACUGGGCGGGGCUCGCCGUUCACGCGGCGCGGCCAAGCCCGCACCAGCGUCGGGACCUUCCUGUGUAAGGUCCCGGCGCUGAACUGCUAGGCAAGCAGUGUUGCUUGCCUAGCAGCAAUUGAACACAAACCGAACGUUUAUCAGAAAAGAGAAAAACACCACAAAAGUCGAAAGCCCACACAUCUUCAUGAAGGCAUUUAUCAUUAUUUCAUAGCGUUCGCUCCUU